rnacentral:rRNA from 1 species
UGCCAGCAGCCGCGGUAAGACGAAGGUGGCAAGCGUUGUUCGAAAUUACUGGGCAUAAAGAGCGCGUAGGUGGCGUGGUCAGCGAGGAAUGAAAUCCCAUGGCUCACCCAUGGAAGUGUUUCUCGAACUGCCAUGCUUGAGUACUGGAGGGGGUGGUGGAAUUCCCGGUGUAGAGGUGAAAUUCGUAGAUAUCGGGAGGAAUACCGGUGGCGAAGGCGACCACCUGGCCAGAUACUGACGCUGAGGUGCGAAAGCGUGGGGAGCAAACAGGAUUAGAUA